rnacentral:rRNA from 1 species
UACAGAGGUGGCAAGCGUUGUUCGGAAUCACUGGGCGUAAAGGGCGCGUAGGCGGCUUUAUAAGUCGGGGGUGAAAGCCUGUGCUCAACCACAGAAUUGCCUUCGAUACUGUAGAGCUUGAGACCGGAAGAGGUAAGUGGAACUGCGAGUGUAGAGGUGAAAUUCGUAGAUAUUCGCAAGAACACCAGUGGCGAAGGCGGCUUACUGGUCCGGUUCUGACGCUGAGGCGCGAAAGCGUGGGGAGCAAACAGG